rnacentral:rRNA from 1 species
GACGAACGCUGGCGGCGUGCUUAACACAUGCAAGUCGAACGGAAAGGCCCUGCUUUUGUGGGGUGCUCGAGUGGCGAACGGGUGAGUAACACGUGAGUAACCUGCCCUUGACUUUGGGAUAACUUCAGGAAACUGGGGCUAAUACCGGAUAGGAGCUCCUGCUGCAUGGUGGGGGUUGGAAAGUUUCGGCGGUUGGGGAUGGACUCGCGGCUUAUCAGCUUGUUGGUGGGGUAGUGGCUUACCAAGGCUUUGACGGGUAGCCGGCGAGAGAGGGUGACGGGCAAGAGUGGGACGAUGGUGGAGCAGGGAAUCAAGAAGAGGGCAGCAGUGGGGAAUAUGGAGCAAGGGGCGGAGGGCAGAAGGAGCAACGCCCCGUGGGGGAUGCCGGACGACGGGUAGUAAACAGGGGGCGCCUGUGAAGAAGCGAGAGGGCAGGUAAUGGAUAGAGAAGAACGGGCUAAAUAAGUG